AGAUUUUACUGAAAUAAAACCAAUGAGAAAGGAAACAACAAAUCUAGGAAACAACCAAUGGGGGGGGGUAUAUAAAGUAUCUGACUAAAGCAUCAUUUCUCAAAUAUAUAGAGAACCAAGUCAAAUUUAUAAGAAUACAAAACAUUCCCCAAUCAAGAAAUAGAUAUCAACAGGCAGUUCUCAGAGGAAGAGAUUAAAAUUAUUCAGUUAUAGGAACAAAUGCUCCAAAUCACUACUGAUGAGAGAAAGUUAAAUUAAAACAAUUCUGAGAUAUGUCUUCUUAACUUUCAUAUUAGCUAAACUGACUUAAAUGAUAAAUGUUGGAGGAGACAUGGGAAAAAUGAAACACUGAUAUGCUGUUGGUGGAACUAUGAACUGAUACAACCAUUCUUGAGAGCUAUAGGGAACCAUACCCAAAGACAACUAUGCAUACCCUUUGAGCCGGUAGUCUCAUUACAGGCUUAGUAUCCCAAAUGGAUCAAAGAUAGAAUAAAAGGAAUUAACUGUACCAAAAUAUUAUUGGCACCUUUUUUUGUAGUGGCAAAGAAUUGGUAACUAUGGGGUUAUUCAUCAUGUGGGAGAAGAAUGAACAAGUUCUUCUAUAUAGUUAUAAUGAAAUACUAUUGUACCAUAAAAAAACAGUGAAAGAGUGAGUUCAGAAAAAAGUGAACAGAACCAGAAGAACAAUGUAUAUAGUAACAGAAGUAUUUUGCCAUGAUCAACUGUGAAGGACUAAAACCAUUAUCAGUAAAGUAAGUCUCCAAGAUAACUGCAAGGGAUUCAUGAAGAAAAUAGUGUCUGUAGCCAAAGACAGAAUUUUAGAAGCUAAGGACAGAUCAAAACCUGACAUCUGCUCCUAUAAUAUAACCUUCAUGAGAUUUAUAUUGUAAGAGUGAUAGGUGUCUUCUAUCAUCUAUGGACAGAAAUAACAUGGAAGUAUGUAUAACAUGAAAGUAUGGGUAUAUGCUCCUCUCUCCUAUUAAUCAUCUUGUCUGGGAGCGGGAGGAGGUUCUCUGCAGAAGAAAAAGGGAUCCUUGGGAAAAAAGACCUAAAAAAUAGAUCCAGAAGAGACAAUUUAAGAAACAUUGGACUACCAGAAAAUCAUGACCAAAGAAAAAAGUCUGGAUAUCAUUCUACAGGAAAUUAUUCAAGAAAACUGCUCAGGCAUUCUUGAACAAGAGGAUAAAGUAGAGAUUGAAAGAAUCCACAGACCACCUGCUGCAUUUAAUAGCUAAUUGACAACACCAAGGAAUGUUAUAGCCAAGUUCAAGAACUUCCAGAUUAAGGAAAAGAUGCUACAAAGAAACCAUUCAGAUAUCAUGGAUGCACAGUUAGGAUAACACAGGAACUGGCUGCAUCCACUCUGAUGGACUGCAAGGCAAAAAAUAUGAUAUUACAGAAUAUGAAGAAACUGGGUCUACAACCAAGAAUCAACUACCCAGCAAUAUUGAUUAUAGUCAUGCACUGGAAAUUUUGGUAAUUUAAUUUUAAAAAGACUUCCAAGCAUUCCUAAAGGGAUGACCUGACUUAUACAGAAAAUGUCAUACCCCAAAACAGAACUCAAGAGAAUCACCAAAAGGUAAGAAAGAAAAAAGAAAGAAAACCAAACUUUUUCAGGGACCCAAUGAGGUAAAAAUGAUUUGUAUUUCUAUAAGAAAAGAUAUUGAUAACUCUUAAAAAAUGUCAUUUUCAUCAGGUUAGCUAGAAAGAGGGUACAGUGACAAACUGUAUAGGAUGAUAUGUCAAAAUGUAUUUAAAAAACUAGGUGUAAACAUAGGUUAAUACUAAGAGAAAUUGGAAAAGAGAUAAAAUGGGGUAAAUAUAUUUUUCAUAAAGAAGCUCAUGGGGGAGGGGGAGAAGAUCAAUUCAAUGGAAGAAUGGAAGAGUUUGGCAACAUGUAAUACUUAAAUCUUAUACACACUGAAAUUGACUCAGAGAGAGAACAAUCAGAUCCAUUGGGGCAGAGAAUUGUAUUGUUUCUUAUGGAGAAGUAGAAGGAUAAUAAAUGGGCAUGUGGGGAGGGGAGCUACA
rnacentral:lncRNA from 1 species